UGAGACUGGGAGUACAUGCUGAGAGAACGAGUUCUGAGUUUGGUUUGUCUGAGCGCAAAAGACGAGGAGAAAGAAAACUGAAAAGUUGGCCAGCUACAAGUGCUGAGCUGAAAAGCUAUUGCUCAGCAAACGACACUUCAGUCCCAGAACUGCCACAGCUCCCUCCCAGGGGAGUCACAAUCAAAAUCUUGUUUAGUUGAAUAUGAUGUUAUAGUGCUGAGCUAGGUUUAUUUAUUUUUUAAACCAAGAUGGUGAGUGAAGUGACCAGACGGUCGAGUAGGCCGAGACCAUAAACUACCCAGGGUACUUCAGGAGACGUGCUCUCGCGCCACCCAAACUCAUCUCACGCCAAAUAAAGACUGCAAACUAAGAACAAAGUCGCUCCCAGAUUAAACUAAUUACUGUAUCACCUCGCAGGGCAACAUGAGAUUAAACAUUCAAGA